GACGAACGCUGGCGGCGUGCCUAACACAUGCAAGUCGAGCGGAGUCAGUAAGAGGAAGUUUUCGGAUGGAAUCUUAUUGAUUUAGCGGCGGACGGGUGAGUAACGCGUGAGCGACCAACCUUGCACAGGGGGAUAACGGACCGAAAGGUUCACUAAUACCGCAUAAGACCACGGUGUUGCAUGACACAGAGGUCAAAGGAGCAAUCCGGUGCAAGACGGGCUCGCGUCCGAUUAGGUAGUUGGAGGGGUAACGGCCCACCAAGCCUAUGAUCGGUAACCGACCUGAGCGGGGUAGCGGCCACAUUGGACCGGGGAUACGGUCCAAACUCCUACGGGAGGCAGCAGUGGGGAAUAUUGGGCAAUGGGGGAAACCCUGACCCAGCAACGCCGCGUGAAGGAAGAAGGUUUUCGGAUUGUAAACUUCUGUCCUUGGUGAAGAGAAGAAGACGGUAGCCAAGGAGGAAGCCCCGGCUAACUACGUGCCAGCAGCCGCCGCCG
rnacentral:rRNA from 1 species